AGACGUAUCGGUAGUCCUGAGCACUAGUGGUUCAUUUAAACACCUUGCUUCUACACGGUGGUUAAAGUUUACCCAGCCAGCAGCACUCUAACAAAGACCCUGCUGUUACUCCCCUAUGCAGAGAAGGCCUGCAGGAACUAGCGCUAUAGCCUCAGAAAACUACUGGAUACUGCCAUGGUUGGUAAAAACAACAUGAGAAACUCUAGGCCUGCAUGUAACUGUCCACCUGCCUUGGGGAUGGAGACAGGCCUGGUGUUCUGCUGUGGGGAUAAGUGGUUGUCUUGUCUUUUUAUUUUUUUAUUAUUUAGCUGUGAAUAUCACCAUGACUUUGGCCUGAACCACCUCAGAAGAUGAGUGUAACAGAUGGAUUGUGCAAAUACAGUGGCUCGUCACUGGUCCAGAGCCUGGCUGUGUGGUCCCACUUCCCCGGGGCUUUGGCCACUGACCAGAGUGUCCUGUCGCAGCCGUCCUCCCGGCCCCAGGCCCAUGUCUUGGUCAGCUCACUGCCCAAGAUGUCCCUCUGUCCCCUGAGGUCCAGCUAGCAGUCUGACCCCUCGACAGACACCCCUGGAGCCAAGACCCAACCGGCCGACGUCACUCGGCUAACAUCAGCAAACCAGCUUAUCGCGCCUGCAUCGUACACUCCUGUCCAAUCCCAUGCAUUGGUCAAGAACCAGCUGCACUGUCCUCCCAGUCACAAGGGGGCGCCCCAUCAGCACAUCAUCCAGCAGACCACAGCAGGAUCCCACUGGCAGCUGCACCCCAUCGCCCUGGCUUCCCCCUUUCUCCCUAACUCUGACGUGUUAGUCGUCAGAGAGGCCCUGUAGCCGUUCCUCCCGGUACCAUUCCCGGUGGGCCGUUCGUCUUUAGGGGCAGAGCAGCAGACCACGCUUCCUGAAGCCUGGGAGGUGAGAACCAAUGGGGACCUGGCUCCUGAGAUGAGACCCAAUGGGGGUCUAGCAUCUGAGAUGAGAACCAAUAGGGAUGCAGAGCUAGAGAGCCUGGUUGAUGCUGAGCAGCCAGACAACUCCAGUGACUCAGACCUGAGUGAUGAUGAGGAUGAUAUCCUCACCCUGGACGGUGUGUGUGGUGUGUGAAUACCUGCGAGCAUGCGAGUGUGUCCAUCCGUCCAUGUGUCUGUCCAUCCUAACAGUGUGUCCUCUCCUGCUGUACUGUAGAGCCUGAUGCUGAGGGCCUGGUAGACAUGCUGCAGUGUGAGUUCUGUGGGAAGAGAGACUACGUUCACACCUCCGAUCCAAACGAUUCUGCUCCUUGACCUGUGUCAGGUUCAAUGUGAGCUGUACUAAGCAUCUGAGCGAGUUGAAGGUGGACAAGGCCAGUCAUUGGGGCCACAGGCCGAUGGGCAGGAGAGGACGACCCCCGGGGAGGAUCAACGGGGGCUCCAGAGAACACUUCCUCCUUAGACAGGUCCGAAGUCACAGCCUGUCCGUACGCUUAGCCAACUCCUAUGAUCAUUGAUAAUGCCAAUCAUGAUGAAGUGGCCCUACGGCUCUGAUGAGGCCCAGAGAAGGUUGAGGGGAGAGGGGGAAGAGGAGGAAGAAGAGCCCCCUGUCCCCAUGAUCACCAGGCUGCAUCGGCAUGAAGAGAGGGAGAGAAGAGAGAGGGUGACAGAGAGGGCGAGAGCAGGGAGGAGAGAGACGUUCAGUCCCUCUUAUGGACAGAUCGCAGGAAAAGACUGUAGUGAAAAUCCAACACAGUGGAGUGUGGAACAAGUCUGCUCCAGAUCAACUCUCUACCAGGUAGGCGGGACAUAUCCAAUGAGUUACGUUCCCAGGAGAUUGACGGCCAGGCCCUCCUAUUGCUGACAGAGAACCACUUGAUGACAGCUAUGAAUAUCAAAACUAGGCCCCGCCCUCAAACUCUGUGCCCACAUCAAAUCUCUGAAGGAACCAUGAGCACAGGAAAUGAGCAUCUCAAAUGGCACCCUAUUCCCUAUAUAGUUGUUGACCAGGGCUCUAUCUGGACAAAAGUAGUGCACUAUAUAGGAGAUAGGGUGCCAUUUGGUAUGCGAACGAGAGGACCACCCUUAUUGGACUUUAAAGACAUUGGAUUCCAGGAGGAUUUGAGACACACACAUACUCGCUCUCCGGCUUUCAACUCAGUGAGAAGCAGCUAAUUAACUGUUUUUCAUCAGUGUAUCACCAUAGUGGUUGUAGCAAUAUGGCUAAAGGUGGCAUUUUCUGUGUAUUACAUUCAAAGCACUGUACAUGCUGUUUAAACUUAAAGAAUUAUAUUGAAAUGUUUUGCCAAAAUGUUGGUAGUCUCUGAAGGCUGUUUUCCAAGCCUGAGACGAGUUGGUAUUUUACAAUGACACAGAUUGACUGGAGUUGCAUGAGGAAAUCCACCAACACCUGUAGCAUAGCAACCAGAAAGUGUCUUGUGAAUUCCAUGAUUGAUGAGACAUUAGACAAGCAACAUAUUUUUUUGUAGUUAUAAAUAUAUAAAUAAAAUCCAU